rnacentral:misc_RNA from 1 species
AAAUCAGUAAUAAUACUGUCUCUUGUUUUCUCUUCUCUCUAAUCUCUAUAUCUUCUUCUCCUUUCUCUUCUUAUUCUAUCUUUCUCUACUGUGUAUAUCAAUAGUUGUGGUUCCUAACCUAACACAAUACUUGCUAUGCUAAUGUAUCUGUGCCUGUGCAAUUCCCCUAAAGGUUUGUUCUCUUCCAAUAAGUCUCUGUAAGUUUAGAAAAUUACUUCCUGUUCUGAAAAUACUAAAAAUAAUUUUCCUUUGAAAAUUCAAAAGGAAAACAUUUCUAUUGAACAAUUUACCUAAAUGCCCCCAAAACUAGAAAAUGUAGAAAAUAUAAGCCCAACUUCACAAUGUAGAUAAAUAGCAUUUUGUACCAUCAAGGACUGAUAGAAUACCCAAAAAAAGAAAAAAAAUCAUCUUGUGCAACUUUUAGAAAAUAAAA